CCUACGGGUGGCAGCAGUGAGGAAUAUUGGUCAAUGGACGAGAGUCUGAACCAGCCAAGUAGCGUGAAGGAUGACUGCCCUUUGGGUUGUAAACUUCUUUUAUAUGGGAAUAAAAUGUUCCAUGUGUAGGACUUUGUAUGUACCAUAUGAAUAAGGAUCGGCUCACUCCGUGCAAGCAGCCGCGGUAAUACGGAGGAUCAGAGCGUUAUCCGGAUUUAUUGGGUUUAAAGGGUGCGUAGGUGGUUUGUUAAGUUAGCUGUGAAAUGUCGCGGCUCAACCGUAAAAUUGCAGUUGAAACUGGCAGUCUUGAGUACAGUAGAGGUGGGCGGAAUGCGUGGUGUAGCGGUGAAAUGCUUAGAUAUCACGAAGAACUCCGAUUGCGAAGGCAGCUCACUGGACUGCAACUGACGCUGAGGCACGAAAGUGUGGGUAUCAAACAGGAUUAGAUACCCCUGUAGUC
rnacentral:rRNA from 1 species